GAUGAGGCAAGUGGCUAAGGUGAGAUUUGGAAGGACGGUGCCACAAAUGAACUUAAUUGACAAGCUCACAGUGAUGGAUAGUUUGGUGAUAUCGUGCCUGUAUCCAGAUGAUGCACUCUCAUAUUAGCUGCAAUCAGAUUUUUUUAACUGUCCAUAUAAUCUCUGGCAGAUCUGCAAUCACCAAGGCAGGUCAUAGCUAACAUCAUCAAGCAUCAACAACAAGCAACAAGCAGCCAGCAGCAAAGAAGGGACAGGAGCAAAGCAGCCAGCAGCAAAGAAGGGACAUAUGCAAAGCAACCAGUGGCAGCAAACAGCAAACAACAUCAGCAGCCAGAAACAUGCAGAGGCGAUUUCUCACCAUGUUGUUAGUGGCAAGGUCGGACGGAGCAGAGCAACGAGCUCGGACAGCGACAAUGACGGUCAACGUCAGGGAAGAAGUAGGAGGGACCCGCGGCU